rnacentral:rRNA from 1 species
UACGUAGGGUGCAGGCGUUAAUCGGAAUUACUGGGCGUAAAGCGUGCGCAGGCGGUCUGCUAAGAGAGAUGUGAAAUCCCCGGGCUUAACCUGGGAACUGCGUCUCUAACUGGCAGGCUUGAGUGUGGCAGAGGGGGGUGGAAUUCCACGUGUAGCAGUGAAAUGCGUAGAGAUGUGGAGGAACACCGAUGGCGAAGGCAGCCCCCUGGGCUAACACUGACGCUCAUGCACGAAAGCGUGGGGAGCAAACAGG